GAAUGGCGUAGCUCAGUUGGUUAGAGCGGCUUCCUAAUACGAGAUAGCAGUCGUAUGGGUGGAGAACAGCUUAGACACCACUCGCGCAGGUUCAAGUCCUGCCGUAUUCA
rnacentral:tRNA from 1 species